rnacentral:rRNA from 1 species
GAGUUUGAUCCUGGCUCAGGACGAACGCUGGCGGCGUGCCUAAUACAUGCAAGUCGAGCGAGCUUGCCUAGAUGAUUUUAGUGCUUGCACUAAAUGAAACUAGAUACAAGCGAGCGGCGGACGGGUGAGUAACACGUGGGUAACCUGCCCAAGAGACUGGGAUAACACCUGGAAACAGAUGCUAAUACCGGAUAACAACACUAGACGCAUGUCUAGAGUUUGAAAGAUGGUUCUGCUAUCACUCUUGGAUGGACCUGCGGUGCAUUAGCUAGUUGGUAAGGUAACGGCUUACCAAGGCAAUGAUGCAUAGCCGAGUUGAGAGACUGAUCGGCCACAUUGGGACUGAGACACGGCCCAAACUCCUACGGGAGGCAGCAGUAAGGAAUCUUCCACAAUGGACGAAAGUCUGAUGGAGCAACGCCGCGUGAGUGAAGAAGGGUUUCGGCUCGUAAAGCUCUGUUGGUAGUGAAGAAAGAUAGAGGUAGUAACUGGCCUUUAUUUGACGGUAAUUACUUAGAAAGUCACGGCUAACUACGUGCCAGCAGCCGCGGUAAUACGUAGGUGGCAAGCGUUGUCCGGAUUUAUUGGGCGUAAAGCGAGUGCAGGCGGUCCAAUAAGUCUGAUGUGAAAGCCUUCGGCUCAACCGGAGAAUUGCAUCAGAAACUGUUGAACUUGAGUGCAGAAGAGGAGAGUGGAACUCCAUGUGUAGCGGUGAAAUGCGUAGA